UACGAAGGUGGCAAGCGUUACUCGGAAUUACUAGGCGUAAAGCGCAGGUAGGCGGUUCGAUAAGUCUUUUGUGAAAGCUCCCGGCUUAACUGGGAGAGGCCAAAGGAAACUGUCGGGCUAGAGUGUGGUAGAGGAUACUGGAAUUCCCGGUGUAGCGGUGAAAUGCGUAGAUAUCGGGAGGAAUACCUAUGGCGAAAGCAGGUAUCUGGGCCAUCACUGACGCUGAGCUGCGAAAGCUAGGGGAGCAAACAGG
rnacentral:rRNA from 1 species